rnacentral:rRNA from 1 species
UGGGGAAUCUUGCACAAUGGGGGAAACCCUGAUGCAGCGACGCCGCGUGAGCGAUGAAGGUUUUCGAAUCGUAAAGCUCUGUCCUAUGGGAAGAUAAUGACGGUACCAUAGGAGGAAGCCCCGGCUAACUACGUGCCAGCAGCCGCGGUAAUACGUAGGGGGCGAGCGUUGUCCGGAAUUACUGGGCGUAAAGGGUUCGCAGGCGGCAUGACAAGUCCGAUGUAAAAGGCGAAAGCUCAACUUUCGUAAGCAUCGGAAACUGUCAAGCUUGAGUGAAGGAGAUGCAAGUGGAAUUCCUAGUGUAGCGGUGGAAUGCGUAGAUAUUAGGAGGAAUACCGGUGGCGAAGGCGACUUGCUGGACUUCAACUGACGCUGAGGAACGAAAGCGUGGGUAGCAAACAGG